GUUUCAAAAUUAAAAAAUGCCACUAAAAGGUAUUUAAUAUGAACUAUAACAUAUACUUUUUUAUGGGUAAACGCCUAGCCAUAAUGUACGAUGGCACGAAUGAUGUUGCCUAGUACUAGAUUGCAGUCCAGAUCAAUGCGCGCUAGCCUUCAAGUAGAGUUUUAGGUGGUUGGUUUGGUUAGGGGGUUUUGCGGGCUUUUUGGCUGUCCCUAGCCUUUGGGUUUUUAGGCUUUUAUUUUUUCUUUGUUGCUUUGCUGAUCUGGCUGGUGCUUUGGGUGAGUUUGGGUUGUUACUAACUUUGUUAUUAUUUGAUCCCUUUUUAUGAGGGUUGUAAAUCCUGGACAUUUCCUCAUCAAUCAAUAUAUAUUUUGCUUUCAAAAAAAAUUAUCUAUGAUAUAUUAGCAAAAGAAUACUCGAGGAAGCACAAUAGAAAAAAAAUAAUAAUGGCCCAAGUUGUAUAAAUUUUUGUUGUGAGCGACUUAUCCACUUAACGUGGUCGUAGAGUCUUAAGGGGUUAAUCUCAUGGCUAUCAACUGUGAUGAAACAUUUGGUAACCAAAUAAGUUGAAUAAAUUUAAUUUCACUAGAUAAUAUAUUUUUUUAAUAAGAUAAUAUUCUAUGCUAUUUAAGUUGUAAAUUAUUAUAAUUCAAAAAAUUAAAUUUUUUUUUUUGGUCUUGUGUCUUGACAGGUUACAAUAAAUGACUUUCCCGGUAAAAAAAAAAAUGAUAUUAAAAUUUUGAGUAAAUUACAAUCCACUACCUUGAGGUUUCCUUAUAUGACACUAAGCUCCAAACUUACUUAAAUAUUACACUCCACCCCACCCACUAUUAAUUACCUGCAAAUUUAUUUACCAAUUCAUUUUACCAAUAUUUUCCUGCGAAUUUUUCUUCAAAUUUGAGUGAUUUUUUUGCAAAACUAUACCUGCAAGUAAUUCCACAAACAAUUAGUGCAAUUCCAUUCUUUCCUACUAUUUUUUUUAGUCUUUCCUUCUUCUUUAUAUUCUUUUAACAUCAUCCUUAAAAAAAACAUAAUGAAUGCACUUGUGGGAAGAAGUUUGCAGACCACAAUGCAAUGCUGCUUCAUCCCGCUGAACACAUCAAAGCUGGAAGUCCAAGGCUAAGAACUUUAGCCGAUCUACCAAUGAAGCUAUAUUAUUUAUAGGGUUAAUUGUAAGACCCUCCCUAAUCCCCAUAUAGCAAUUUAGCAUAAAUACAUGUAGGGAUCAUAUGACUUGAAAAUGGGGGCCGGGAAGGAAGACUUGAAGCAUACUCUGAUUAAUAUUAUUAUAUAGGCUAAAAAGAAUUUGUUGCCCCUGAUGUAUCACGAAUGUGCAAAAGUCAUCCCGACUCUAUUUUUGUCGACGUUUGUACCCUCAAUGUUUUGAAAAAGUACAGCGAAUACCCCUCCGUUAGAUUGACGUUAAGAAACUAAUGGAGGGGCUAACGUGGCUUAUUCUUUUAAUUUCCCAUUACUUUCUCAGUUUCCACGUGGAUUUUUACAAUGAAAACAAAACGAGAAAAGGAUUGCACGCUGAACGCACGUGCUAAUCCAGUUUCAAUUUGGAGAUUAGGAUACCAUAAAUCCCUGGACGAAUGAGAAUGGUAACAUUGGGAGGCGUUUCUAUGGAUGUGGAACGAUUUAUGAAAAUAUGAGUAUAAGAAAGUAUACAUAUUCCAAAUUUGUUGAUAGCCAAAAAUGUAAUAAUUAUAAGAGGCACAUGAAAGAAACAACUUGUUUCUUUUAUGGGACAAAAGCAUAUUUGCAUGAGCCAUGAGAUGAAACCGACUUGUUGUCACUUGUACCUUGUAUUUUAUAUAUAUAGCAGUGUCUUGUAUAAUUACUCUCAGGAAGAAGCGAAAUAAAAAAAGAGGAAGAAAAGGGAUUUGUAAUUCUCAAAGUUCUGUUCUUGUUAGCUUGAUCAAGAUGGCACCCACCAAGAAGGAAGAGAAGAAGAAGAAAAUGGUUGAAGAGAAGGAAAAUAAUGAUCUGGAGGAAGAGAAGAAGAAGAACAUCAUUCCUUCUGCUUCAACGGGGAAAGGAAAGCCAAAAUUGAAAGGAAAGGGGAGAGGAAUGAAUGCAUCUGUGGGAAGAAGUUUGCAGACCACAAUGAAAUGCUUCUUCAUGCUCCUGAACACAUCAAAGCUGGGAAGUCCAAGGCUAAGAACUUUAGCCGAUCUACCUAUGAAGCUAUAUUAUUUAUAGGGUUAAUUGUAAGACCCUCCCUAAUCCCUAUAUAGCAAUAUAGCAAUUUAGCAUAAAUACAUGUAGGGAUCAUAUGACUUGAAAAUGAGGGCCGGGAAGGAAGACUUGAAGCAUACUCUAAUUAAUAUUAUUAUAUAGAAUAAAAAGAAUUUGUUGCCCCUAAUGUAUCACGAAUGUGCAAAAGUCAUCCCGACUCUAUUUUUGUCGACGUUUGUACCUCAAUGUUUUGAAAAAGUGCAGCGAAUACCCCUCCGUCAGAUUGACGUUAAGAAACUAAUGGAGAUGCUGAUGUGGCUUAUUCUUUUAAUUUCCCUUUACUUUCUUAGUUUUCACGUGGAUUUUUACAAUGAAAACAAAACGAGAAAAGGAUUGCACGCUGAACGCACGUGCUAAUCCAGUUUCAAUUUGGAGAUUAGGAUUCUAUAAAUCCCUGGGCGAAUGAGAAUGGUAACAUUGGGAGGCGUUUCUAUGGAUGUGGAACGAUUUAUGAAAAUAUGAGUAUAAGAAAGUAUACAUAUUCCAAAUUUGUUGAUAGCCAAAAAUGUAAUAAUUAUAAGAGGCACAUGAAAGAAACAACUUGUUUCUUUUAUGGGACAAAAGCAUAUUUGCAUGAGCCAUGAGAUGAAACCGACUUGUUGUCACUUGUACCUUGUAUUUUAUAUAUAUAGCAGUGUCUUGUAUAAUUACUCUCAGGAAGAAGCGAAAUAAAAAAGGAGGAAGAAAAGGGAUUUGUAACUCUCAAAGUUUUGUUCUUGUUAGCUUGAUCAAGGUAAUUAAUUAAUGUGUUGUUUGAUUUCUUGUACUUUAAUUUUUGUCUUCAUUUCAUUUCAUUUCCUUUAAUCUAUGUUAUUGAUUGUUGUUAGAUGGCACCCACCAAGAAGGAAGAGAAGCAGAAGAACAUGGUUAUUCAAUUCUCUUUCUUAAAUUCUCCUUCAUUUAAAUUCAUUCAAUUUCCUUCCAAGUUCCAACAUUUGUUCUUCUUAACUUAAAUUGUCUAGGUUGAAGAGAAG